rnacentral:rRNA from 1 species
UACGGAGGAUUCAAGCGUUAUCCGGAUUUAUUGGGUUUAAAGGGUGCGUAGGCGGUUGGAUAAGUUAGAGGUGAAAUACCGGGGCUCAACUCCGGAACUGCCUCUGAUACUGUUCGGCUAGAGUGUAGUUGCGGUAGGCGGAAUGUAUGGUGUAGCGGUGAAAUGCUUAGAGAUCAUACAGAACACCGAUUGCGAAGGCAGCUUACCAAACUAUUACUGACGUUGAGGCACGAAAGCGUGGGUAGCAAACA